GGCGAACGGGUGAGUAACACGUGAGUAACCUGCCCUUGACUUUGGGAUAACUUCAGGAAACUGGAGCUAAUACCGGAUAGGAGCUCCUGCUGCAUGGUGGGGGUUGGAAAGUUUCGGCGGUUGGGGAUGGACUCGCGGCUUAUCAGCUUGUUGGUGGGGUAGUGGCUUACCAAGGCUUUGACGGGUAGCCGGCCUGAGAGGGUGACCGGCCACAUUGGGACUGAGAUAUGGCCCAG
rnacentral:rRNA from 1 species